UCCCCACCCGUCCGACAUUUGAUAGGCGAACGGGUCGCGGGGAGCGUCAUUGCGGUGUCGAAAGUCGUCGUGUAAGGACCUGUCAAUUUUCGUUGUUCGCGAUUUAUUAAUUAACUGCGUAGUAUCUUCACUCGUAUUCCGCUGUCUCCGUACGCUAUUAUUAGGUUGCUCGACCAUAGCGGGACGAUAACUGGGAAUUCAAAAUAGCGUCGUUUGGACGCCAUGAUGAUUAACAGUCAAUUUGUCAGCUUCUCAUGGAGAUUGAGUUAGCUUUUUCAUGAUCUGCAGCACUUCCUCUUGUUCUCUGGAUAGGAUCUUAUGGCGCUUCAAAAGCUAGAAAUAUAUUUCACAACCUGUACUUCUACUGUAAGGUUUGAUGAUUCUUCCGGGAUGACGGCCUUCACGGUGGUUUCCUCUGAGCUACGUCAACAUUGUCGACAUCGUUCUUCGUAUGUAACUGUGAGUCGCAUGCUUUUUGUUCCUCUGGUCACUCAAUCAUGUCGUAGGAUGAAAGGUCCGAAUCGACACGGGUGACUGGUUGUAUCACGUAGAAUUUUUUACGAGCAUAGUGACUGCGAGUAUUUAUUAUACCCGUGAGUGGUAAUACAUAUUUCCUUUUUAUGUGUUUUAUUUAUUAGUUCAGGAUAGGUCUUCUUGCACAUCG